rnacentral:sRNA from 1 species
UACUGACAAUAUUGUGUAUCCGUCAUAUACUAAAUCUUCAAUUGACCAAACAAAAUCUUGAUCACCACAUACAUCAAAUAUAACUUCAUCUUCAUUUCUCCAAAAAUUAUUGUUAACUAAUUCUCCAAGUAAUUGUAAAUAUAUAGGAGAUGUACUUUAUGUUAUUUUCGCAACAAGUAAACUCCCCACCAAAAAGAGGAUGAAGAUGUUUUCCAAACCUGUUUUGUGCAAUCCAACCUUACGUGCUUCCUUUCUUUGGAUCAACGGUGAAGUUGGGAAGAAGGGAGUCGAUGCUUUCACCGAGACAGACAUCAAGGGACUCACAUAGACGAGCCUGCGAGCUUGAGAUAUCUUAUAGAAAAUCUGUCUUAUGACAUUUGCAAAUGUAUCAAGUUAGCAAACACUCUGCCAAAGGAUUACUAUUGAGGCAUGAGCGGCUUUCGGUUUAGUAUGGCUUAUGUAUGGCUGGCUUUUCUAGUAUUUGAUGAAUGUUUGGAAUUGUUUUAAUGGUUUUUAGAUUAUUGUUUUCGGUUUAUGCAUUUUGAAUUAUUGUGUGCAAAUUUUCCUAUAGUUUUUGGAUUAUUGUUUUCAGUUUAUGGAUUUUGAUUUAUGUUUUUUAGAAUUUAUAUUAGAUAAAAUUUGUUAAAAAAAAAGAGACAUAGAUAACUUUAAAGUCUACAAC